GACGAACGCUGGCGGUGUGCUUAACACAUGCAAGUGGAGCGACGAACCAGAGCUUGCUCUGGGGCAGAGCCGCGAACGGGUGAGUAACACGUGGGUAACCUACCCUGAUGACUGGGACAACCCGAGGAAGCUCGGGCUAAUACCGGAUGUGCUCUCCUCUCACGAGAGAGGCGAGUAAAGGAAGCUUCGGCCUCCGCAUCAGGAGGGGCCCGCGGCCCAUUAGUUUGUUGGUGGGGUAACGGCCUACCAAGACUGCGAUGGGUAGCUGGUCUGAGAGGACGACAAGCCACACUGGGACUGAGACACGGCCCAGACUCCUACGGGAGGCAGCAGUGGGGAAUCUUGCGCAAUGCGCGACAGCGUGACGCAGCAACACCGCGUGGGGGAAGAAGGCCUUCGGGUUGUAAACCCCUUUCAGGAGGGACGAAGGCCGGCCAGUGAAUAGCUGUGCCGGUUGACGGUACCUCCACAAGAAGCCCCGGCUAACUACGUGCCAGCCGCCGCCGUAA
rnacentral:rRNA from 1 species